rnacentral:rRNA from 1 species
GACGAGCGCUGGCGGCGUGCUUAACACAUGCAAGUCGAACGGAAAGGCCCUGCUUUUGUGGGGUGCUCGAGUGGCGAACGGGUGAGUAACACGUGGGUAACCUGCCCUUGACUUUGGGAUAACUUCAGGAAACUGGGGCUAAUACCGGAUAGGAGCUCCUGCUGCAUGGUGGGGGUUGGAAAGUUUCGGCGGUUGGGGAUGGACUCGCGGCUUAUCAGCUUGUUGGUGGGGUAGUGGCUUACCAAGGCUUUGACGGGUAGCCGGCCUGAGAGGGUGACCGGCCACAUUGGGACUGAGAUACGGCCCAGACUCCUACGGGAGGCAGCAGUGGGGAAUAUUGCACAAUGGGCGGAAGCCUGAUGCAGCAACGCCGCGUGCGGGAUGACGGCCUUCGGGUUGUAAACCGCUUUCGCCUGUGACGAAGCGUGAGUGACGGUAAUGGGUAAAGAAGCACCGGCUAACUACGUG